rnacentral:rRNA from 1 species
GACGAACGCUGGCGGCGUGCCUAAUACAUGCAAGUAGAACGCUGAAGGAGGAGCUUGCUUCUCUGGUUGAGUUGCGAACGGGUGAGUAACGCGUAGGUAACCUGCCUGGUAGCGGGGGAUAACUAUUGGAAACGAUAGCUAAUACCGCAUAAUAGUAGAUGUUGCAUGACAUUUACUUAAAAGGUGCAAUUGCAUCACUACCAGAUGGACCUGCGUUGUAUUAGCUAGUUGGUGGGGUAACGGCUCACGAAGGCGACGAUACAUAGCCGCACGGAGAGGGUGAGCAGCCGGACUGAGAGGGUGACACGCCCCAGAGGGAUUGAGGUGGCAGCAGUAGGGAAACUGGAGCAAUGGGCGGGAGUCUGACCGAACAGCGCGGAGUGAGUGUGGAGGGUCUUCGGGUCGUAGAGGUCUGUUGUAAGGGUGGAAAGAGUGUGAGAGUGGGAAGUAGACACAGUGACGGUAACUUACAAAAAAGGAACGGCUAACUACGUG